rnacentral:lncRNA from 1 species
GAGAACCUCUAAGUCUCUUCACCAAGGAGAGAUUGGAGAAGAAAUGAGUGACCUUGGAGUAGUGAGAUUGCAAGAUGCACCCCCCAAGGUGGCCGGCCUCUUUAGAGAGAAAUGGAAAGACAAGUUCUCACCAAUUUUCUCCAAAACACACCCUUAAUGAAUUUUGGCUAUAAAGUCAUAUUUAUACCUUUAUUCAUUU